UUUGUUCUCUGUUUUUAUUCUUUCCGUAGUACUCGCUACCUUUACUUUUUUUUCCUCUCCAUUAAGCACUUGCUUUUCUUUACCACUGCAUCCGCUGGGUCUCGGGCUGGAGCCCCAGGCUCUCGGACGCACUGGCCAUGGAGCACGACCGAGAUUGAGGUGGCGAGGCCACUGAUGGCCGAGCUGGCCUCGCUUUGAACUCCCAUCCAUAGCCGAUAGAUUGAGACACUCGUGGACGCAGGCUCAAUCUGGAGUAUCGCAGGUGCCAUGGCCACGGAGUUCGAGCUUGAGCCCAAAGUUGCUGGCUCGAACUGGAUCUAGUAGUAGUCAUGGCCACCUGAGCUUUGAUAUCUUGUCGCGAUGUCGUGAACGACCCGCCAAGAAAAGCAGCUUCCUCCUUCUAUCUCUCUCUCUGAGAUGAAGCUCUGUUCCCCUUCAUUGAUGGGUUUAUGAAUUGAACCCACUAAUUCUCCUAUCGGUCCGGCGGUGGACUUUCGCGUUCUUGCUCCACCGGCCGCUCUUACUCUGCUUUAUCAAGCUCAAAAAUCUCUCUCUCUUACUAGGAUUUGUGCGUGCUUUGAUUUUUUUAGCUUCGAUUCGCUUUCACACUUUGGUCCCUUUUCACUCAGGUACUCUCUCUCUCAAGUCGAAAGCUUUCCCCUCUACUUUUGUUUUUGGGUCAUGAUGAUGAUAACUUUCGUUAAUAACUCGAGUUUAAGCACGGGUAGCCAGUUCCCGGAGGACUGGGAACUGAACCGGCCGGUUAGAUCCGGUUCGGGUUUGGUCAAUUAUCGGUUUGGAUGUUCCAUUUUGUACAUUACUAAGUUUAAGACUCAUGAGUAUUCAACAUCAAACAUUGUAAGUUUGAAAGGAACUUGCCGGAUUUACUCUAUCUUCCAUGGCAAGACAAAAUCAAAGCUUUUGCUUGUUAGGUUGGGACUGGCUAAUAUUUUCUUAUUUUUGUAAAUACUCUUUUUUAUGCUUCCUCGGAUUCCCCUCUUUUAUCAAUGCCUUUACCCUUCCUAAUCGCGUGUUUUACUUCAUGUGUAGGCUCGUGUGUAGGGGAAUAUUGACCAGAAAACCACCACUAGGACUCUUCUUCUUUUUUUUUUUUUCUUUUUUUUUAGUCAGUCCUACUCUAUUCCUACUUUACAUUCACUCUCAGACGUUUGUCCUGCCUCUUACAGGGCGUGGGAGUCGAAACCCACUCCAGAAACUUACGCGUCCUCAUCACAUCCCCUCCUAAGAAGGUGGGGUUUUGAACCCCUUACCUCCUCAUUUCAUGUUGAAAGAGUGGCCACUAAGGCGAAUCCCAGUAGUUCACUAGGACUCUUCUUUAUGAGGUAUGUCCUUUUGCUUUUUCAAUUCCUUUCGCUUCAAUUUCGCCAUGAAACACGAUUCUUUUUAUUUUACUUUAAUCACAUGUGAAGAAUUAAGGCGCGUUUGGUAACGCUUAUUAUAAAUUAUUCUUUUUUAUUCCGAUCCCACAAAUAAUUUUUAAAUAUUUUAAGCCAUUUGAUAACUAUCCAAAAUUUUAAUUCUCAGAAUAGAAUUGUAUUUGGUACAAUAGUCAAAAUUUCUACUCUAAAUCAUUUUCUUUUAAUUUUUCCUUUUUUUAUUUUCUCUUAUUUUCUUUUUUUUCUUUUCUUUCUCCCUUUCUUCUUCUUAAAGUGGCCGGUCGUUGGUCAUCGAUCGUCGGCCUUGAGACGACUAACGACAGGGUCGGCGACUUCACUGGAGCGUCACCAACUCUCGUCGGCCGAGCCUUGUCAGGGUUGAGCAAGCCUCGCCUAAUCGAGCAAAGCCUUGUCAGUGGCCGGGGGAGGCUCGGGUGAGGACGAGCCUCACAGCUUGCCUUCGACGAGCUCACCGGACCUCACCGAAGGUCCUCGCCUUGGCCUGGCAAGCCUCCGGCGAACUUGCCAGAUUGGUUGCCAGCGACCAGCGGCGAUGGGCGGCAAACGGCGACAGAUGGCAACCAUGGUGGUGGCAACAAAUGAAGAAGAAGAAAGAAGGAUCAAGAACAAGAAAAAUGAAAAGAAAAAGAGAAAAUAGGUACUUGAUUUUAGAAUUGUUCCCGGGAACAAUAAUUGACUUUUAUUUAUUUAUUAUUCUAUUCAAAAUCUACUACCGGAAACAAAAAAAUAGAAAUUUUUACUGAAAACAAAAAUUUUACCAAACACAUAUUUGUUUCAAAUCUAUUCCCCGGAACAAAAGAACAAAAAAAAAAAAAAAAAACAUUGUUUGGCAACUUGCCAAUCAGCCCCUUAGUGGCC
rnacentral:lncRNA from 1 species